AGAGUUUGAUUAUGGCUCAGAAUGAACGUUGGCGGCGUGGAUUAGGCAUGCAAGUCGAACGCGAACGAUCUCUUCGGAGAUCAAGUAGCGUGGCGAAAGGGACAGUAACGCAUAGGUAACCUACCCUCAGGACCGGGAUAUACGGUGGAAACGCCGGGUAAUACUGGACGUGGUUGCUAUCUGGCAUCAGUAAGCAAUCAAAUGUUUUUUCGCCUGGGGAGGGACCUAUGUCCUACCAGCUUGUUGGUGAGGUAGUGGCUCACCAAGGCUACGACGGGUAGGGGGUGUGAGAGCAUGACCCCCGUCACUGGCACUGAGACACUGGCCAGACUCCUACGGGAGGCUGCAGUCGAGAAUCUUCGGCAAUGGGCGAAAGCCUGACCGAGCGACGCCGCGUGGAGGAGGAAGGCCUUCGGGUUGUAAACUCCUGUUGGGGGGGAUCAAUUCAUGAGAGAACCCCUGAGGAAGCACGGGCUAAGUUCGUGCCAGCAGCCGCGGUAAGACGAACCGUGCGAACGUUAUUCGGAAUCACUGGGCUUAAAGAGCGCGUAGGCGGCGUCGUUAGUCGGAGGUGAAAUCCCAUCGGCUCAACCGUGGAACUGCCUCCAAUACUGCGAUGCUUGAGGGAGGUAGGGGCAUGUGGAACUUCCAGUGGAGCGGUGAAAUGUGUUGAGAUUGGAAGGAACGCCAGUGGCGAAGGCGACAUGCUGGAUCUUUUCUGACGCUGAGGCGCGAAAGCUAGGGUAGCGAACGGGAUUAGAUACCCCGGUAGUCCUAGCCGUAACGAUGGGCACUGGGUAGAAAGCGGUCCGAUGCCGCCUUCUGCCGUA
rnacentral:rRNA from 1 species